rnacentral:rRNA from 1 species
AUUGAACGCUGGCGGCAUGCUUUACACAUGCAAGUCGAACGGUAACAGGCCUUCGGGUGCUGACGAGUGGCGAACGGGUGAGUAAUGCAUCGGAACGUGCCCAAUCGUGGGGGGAUAACGUAGCGAAAGUUACGCUAAUACCGCAUAAGCCCUGAGGGGGAAAGCAGGGGAUCGCAAGACCUUGCGCGAAUGGAGCGGCCGAUGUCAGAUUAGCUAGUUGGGUGGGGUAAAGGCCUACCAAGGCGACGAUCUGUAGCGGGUCUGAGAGGAUGAUCCGCCACACUGGGACUGAGACACGGCCCAGACUCCUACGGGAGGCAGCAGUGGGGAAUUUUGGACAAUGGGCGCAAGCCUGAUCCAGCCAUGCCGCGUGCGGGGACGAAGGUCCUCGGUUGUAAACG